AUUGAACGCUGGCGGGAGGCCUUACACAUGCAAGUCGAGCGGAGCGGCGGACGGGUGAGUAAUGCAUAGGAACCUGCCUGGUAGUGGGGGAUAACUUCCGGAAACGGGCGCUAAUACCGCAUACUAUAAGAGGGGCCUACUUCGGAUUAGCUAGUUGGUGGGGUAAAGGCCUACCAAGGCGACGAUCCGUAACUGGUCUGAGAGGAUGAUCAGCCACACGGGAACUGAGACACGGUCCAGAAUCCUACGGGAGGCAGCAGGGGGGAAUUGUGGACAAUGGGCGAAAGCCUGAUCCAGCCAUCCCGCGUGUGUGAAGAAGGUUGUCGGAUUGUAAAGCACUUUAAGUUGGAAGGCGGGACCUGCAGAAUAAGCACCGGCUAACUCCGUGCCAGCAGCCGCGGUAAGAC
rnacentral:rRNA from 1 species